rnacentral:tRNA from 2 species
GCCCACGUAGCUCAGUCGGCAGAGCACUUCCUUGGUAAGGAAGAGGUCUCGAGUUCGAGUCUCGACGUGGGCUCCA